rnacentral:lncRNA from 1 species
GGACUCGGUAGCUGCAGCUCCCGGAGCACAGCGGACAGAGCUGCGGGCUGCGUGCGCCCCUGCUGCCACCGGGCCUGCCGCGGUGGCUCCCGCGCCCCGCGGCGACUUCCGAACCCGCGCUUCUCUUUGUUCAAGUCCCCGAGCGGCGGCGGGGUCGGAGCCCGCGCCCUGGGCGACUGAGGCGGCCGCAGUCCGCGCCCCGGCGCCCUGGCGAUGCCGGACCAGAUCUGUGUCGGAAUUCGUGGCCGAGACCCUUGAGGACUACAAGGCACCCACUGCCUCUAGCUUCACCAUGGGCACGGCCCAGUGCCGGAACACCGCGGCGGCCACCGAGGAGGAUGCAGUGACUUAUGAUGAUGUGCAUGUGAACUUCACUGGGGAAGAGUGGAAUUUGCUGGAUCCUUCCCAGAAGAGUCUCUACAAAGAUGUGAUGCUGGAGACCUACUGGAACCUCACGGUUAUAGGCUACACUUGGGAAACCCAUCAUAUUGAAGGACAUUGUCAAAGUUCGAGAAGAAAUGAAAGGUGUUGCAGGAGCUUUGGAUUGCUGACAGCUGUCUCCCACUUGAAAGAGUGAGCCAGAAUUGAUGGACUUGCCCUGUGUCUGAUAUUAAUCAGCAUCCUGGCCUUCUGGUGCACCUGCCGCAUGCAGAGUCAUCAGUGCAGAGCCCAAGCCUUGAUGAUACAGGCUUUUGCGGCAGCGAAAACAGGACAAUCUCCUCAUGUGUGGCUUGGCAUGCUAGAGAAAUAGUCAAUGACGGGUAAGACUCCCUGGGCAUGUCACCAACCUAAGACAGGGAUCAAACCAAUGCUUUUUGUCUCCCGAUGAUGGGUAAGGGGCAUUGCCACAGGGGGCAACCUAAGACAGACAUGCUCUCUGCAAAUAAGUAAAGAAGGGGGAGAUGUGGGGAGUGGGUGUGGCAGCAGUCCCAAGAUGGCACCCCGGACUGCAGCCAAGUCUUAUGACUUGCACCUGACUUCCUCAUACACCUGAAAAUAAUCCACGACCAUCGUGAGAACUGCGCAGGUGCACAAUCAUGCAAGAUCAGACCAUAUGAUGAGUGAUGAUUCUGGCCAAUGGACUGCUGUUACGUGGACUGGGCUGAUGGGGCGUGGUUGAGAGGUUAUAUAAGGGAUUGCGAUUGGGGGCAAGGACACAAGAGACUAUUCCUGGAGAGAGAUUCAUGCAUGCAUGUUGAAAGGUUCCGGAAUAAACUGCUUUGAGAAAAA